rnacentral:rRNA from 1 species
GUUAAAAAGCUCGUAGUUGGAUUUCUGUGGGGACGGAGCGGCCGGCCGCUACUAGCGGUUCGAGCUAGCGCUUUCCCUACAUCCUGCCGCGAACCGUGCUACCAUUAGUUUGGUGGCGCCGGGGAUCGGCUCGUUUACUUUGAGAAAAAUAGAGUGUUCAAAGCAGGCCACACGCCUUGAAUAAGUUAGCAUGGAAUAAUAACUAAGGACUU